GCGCGAGUGGUGAAAUGGUAGACACGUUAGUCUUAGGAACUAAUGCUCCUCGGCGUAAGGGUUCAAGUCCCUUCUCGCGCA
rnacentral:tRNA from 1 species